AUCGAACGCUGGCGGCAGGCCUAACACAUGCAAGUCGAGCGGAGCGGCGGACGGGUGAGUAAUGCCUAGGAAUCUGCCUGGCCGUGGGGGAUAACAUCCGGAAACGGGCGCUAAUCUCGCAUACUAUCAGAUGAGCCUAGGUCGGAGUAGCUCGUUGGUGGGGUAAAGGCCUACCAAGGCGACGAUCCGUAACUGGUCUGAGAGGAUGAUCAGUCAACCUGGAACUGGGACACGGUCCAGACUCCUAGGGGAGGCAGCAGGGGGGAAGAUUGGACAAUGGGCGAAAGCCUGAUCCAGCCAUGCCGCGUGUGUGAAGAAGGUCUUCGGAUUGUAAAGCACUUUAAGUUGGGAGGCGUUACCAACAGAAUAAGCACCGGCUAACUUCGUGCCAGCAGCCGCGGUAAUAC
rnacentral:rRNA from 1 species